UACGUAGGGGGCAAGCGUUGUCCGGAUUUAUUGGGCGUAAAAGGCUUGUAGGUGGCCACGCCAAGUCGGAUGUGAAAUCUCCCGGCUCAACUGGGAGGGGUCAUUCGAUACUGUCGGGCUCGAGUCCGGAAGAGGAGUGUGGAAUUCCUGGUGUAGCGGUGAAAUGCGCAGAUAUCAGGAGGAACACCAAUGGCGAAGGCAGCACUCUGGGACGUGACUGACGCUGAGACGCGAAAGCGUGGGGAGCAAACAGG
rnacentral:rRNA from 1 species